AGUACCCCAUUCCUUGCUGCAAUGUAAUUAUAUUUAAUUACAAGUGUGCCCCUGGUAGUCUUUAACUGAAGGGCACUGACUGGGUCACUGGUGAAGUUCCCCGCAGGAACUGAGUCAGACCCCAUCUCAGGGCCCUGCACAAGAUAGGUGCCUGCUCUAAGGCGUGGACCCUCGCCACAGCCCUGGCCCGUCUUGACGGGCGAGGGUUACUGUACUUGUCCCAACCGUACAGAUGAGAAAGCUGAGACUCAGGGCCAGCAACCCGGGUCCCAGCGGAGCGCCCGGCACACGCCGACACUUCAGCACCAGUGGCGGUGGCCACCACUGUGGGCGGAGAUGGCUGCGACGCGUGCGCAGGUGAAAUGGCCACCAGACCCAGGCUUUCUGGAAUGCAUUCAUUUUCUGCAGUUGAAAGGGACAAUCCCGGAUCUGAAAGAAAGAGCCACAGUGACUCCAAGAGUGGAGCCAGGGCAUGCUGGACACUGCAUAGCUAUGGCCACGUGUGUCACCUCCGAGGGAGAUGUGAGAGAAACGCAGAGGGAUCGCUUGUGACUGUGCCUUCUCGAUGUAUGAUGGACUGUUCUGCUCAAAUAGCAGCAGUAGGGCUUAUGGGAGCCAUUGUACAGUGACAGGAACAUACCAGGACACUGAGAAUAGCGUCAUGUCAUAAGGACUCAGAGCAGGUGGACCCUGCUGUGAUGCACAAAGGUGAGGGUGCAGCUGCCCAGGACACACUCAUGCAUGUUUGUGUGGACCAUGGAAGAUGGCAGGGGAAGAGCUGUCAGAGGACCAUGCAAGAUAUGAUAAAGAUCUAUGUCACUGAAUUUUGUUUCUGUAUUUGUAUCUCAGCUUCCCAGAAAUAAAAAAGAAUUCUAACAUUCAUACUUUCAGUAUUUUAUGUGAGAGGUUUUGUUGUCAAAAUCAAGUCUGAGAGCAAUGUUUAUUGGGGCCUUUCAUUGGAGUCACCAAGCAAUAAAGGGGACAUUGUCUUCAACAAUAACCCUAUAAUAAACACGUUUUGGACAAUAAA
rnacentral:lncRNA from 1 species